GGUAUCUUUAUGCUGCUCCAAGGCGCUUUCAGAACUGCUAUACAGAACAGGAAAACAGCAUUAAAUUGGUUUCUGGGAGUAGAAAUCACCGCUGUUGUUCACUUUGAAUGUCAUGGACCGACAAAAACACAAGCAGGCACAAGCUGCGCCCGACCGGACACUGCGCCAGGAAGGAACAUGUACCGUUUUGGUGCAGUCACAGCUUUAAACUGCUGGCCUGCCAACUGCAGCGCUGCCUCCCACUGAAAACAAAGAGAGGCAGACACCAUGCAGAAACACGUGGAAUUUUGGCAAGGUUUUCAUGCCGAAAUUCUGCUGGCAGAUUCCACCGCGUGAAUGGAACCUUAAAAUGAUUGUAUGUGUAUAGUGUAUAACACUGUUUUCCAAACUGCAUUCCCUAAUUACUUAUAAGAAUUUAGAAAAUUUCAAGAAGUUCAGGAAUUGAUUCCAAUAAAUAUGUUUUUUGUUCUAA